rnacentral:rRNA from 1 species
AGAGUUUGAUCAUGGCUCAGAUUGAACGCUGGCGGCAGGCUUAACACAUGCAAGUCGAGCGGGGGAAGGUAGCUUGCUACCGGACCUAGCGGCGGACGGGUGAGUAAUGCUUAGGAAUCUGCCUAUUAGUGGGGGACAACAUCUCGAAAGGGAUGCUAAUACCGCAUACGUCCUACGGGAGAAAGCAGGGGAUCUUCGGACCUUGCGCUAAUAGAUGAGCCUAAGUCGGAUUAGCUAGUUGGUGGGGUAAAGGCCUACCAAGGCGACGAUCUGUAGCGGGUCUGAGAGGAUGAUCCGCCACACUGGGACUGAGACACGGCCCAGACUCCUACGGGAGGCAGCAGUGGGGAAUAUUGGACAAUGGGGGGAACCCUGAUCCAGCCAUGCCGCGUGUGUGAAGAAGGCCUUAUGGUUGUAAAGCACUUUAAGCGAGGAGGAGGCUACUUUAGUUAAUACCUAGAGAUAGUGGACGUUACUCGCAGAAUAAGCACCGGCUAACUCUGUGCCAGCAGCCGCGGUAAUACAGAGGGUGCGAGCGUUAAUCGGAUUUACUGGGCGUAAAGCGUGCGUAGGCGGCUUAUUAAGUCGGAUGUGAAAUCCCCGAGCUUAACUUGGGAAUUGCAUUCGAUACUGGUGAGCUAGAGUAUGGGAGAGGAUGGUAGAAUUCCAGGUGUAGCGGUGAAAUGCGUAGAGAUCUGGAGGAAUACCGAUGGCGAAGGCAGCCAUCUGGCCUAAUACUGACGCUGAGGUACGAAAGCAUGGGGAGCAAACAGGAUUAGAUACCCUGGUAGUCCAUGCCGUAAACGAUGUCUACUAGCCGUUGGGGCCUUUGAGGCUUUAGUGGCGCAGCUAACGCGAUAAGUAGACCGCCUGGGGAGUACGGUCGCAAGACUAAAACUCAAAUGAAUUGACGGGGGCCCGCACAAGCGGUGGAGCAUGUGGUUUAAUUCGAUGCAACGCGAAGAACCUUACCUGGCCUUGACAUACUAGAAACUUUCCA